AAAUUGAAGAGUUUGAUCAUGGCUCAGAUUGAACGCUGGCGGCAGGCCUAACACAUGCAAGUCGAACGGUAACAGGAAGCAGCUUGCUGUUUCGCUGACGAGUGGCGGACGGGUGAGUAAUGUCUGGGAAACUGCCUGAUGGAGGGGGAUAACU
rnacentral:rRNA from 2 species